rnacentral:rRNA from 1 species
GACGUAGGGGACGAGCGUUGUCCGGAUUCAUUGGGCGUAAAGCGCGCGUAGGCGGUUCGGUAAGUCGGGUGUGAAAACACGAGGCUCAACCUCGUGCGUGCAUCCGAUACUGCCGGACUAGAGGUAGGUAGGGGAGAUCGGAAUUCCUGGUGUAGCGGUGAAAUGCGCAGAUAUCAGGAGGAACACCGGUGGCGAAGGCGGGUCUCUGGACAGUUCCUGACGCUGAGGCACGAAGGUCAGGGGAGCAAACGGG